CGUAGGUGGCAAGCGUUGUCCGGAAUUAUUGGGCGUAAAGGGCGCGCAGGCGGUUCGGUAAGUCUGUCUUAAAAGUGCGGGGCUUAACCCCGUGAGGGGACGGAAACUGUCGAACUUGAGUGUCGGAGAGGAAAGCGGAAUUCCUAGUGUAGCGGUGAAAUGCGUAGAUAUUAGGAGGAACACCGGUGGCGAAAGCGGCUUUCUGGACGACAACUGACGCUGAGGCGCGAAAGCGUGGGGAGCAAACAGGAUU
rnacentral:rRNA from 1 species